UCGGGCGGCACGCCGAAUCCUGCCCCCGGUCGACGAUUUCUCACCCACAGGCGGCAGGAACGGGGGAACCAUCUCCGAGCAUCGAAAGGAUUCGAUGCUCUCGGGGUGAAGCCGUGAGCGACGGGCACCGGACCGUGAUUCGGUGCGACCACACGUCCCCAGGAAAUCCCUGGCAUGGCCGGGCAGUUCCCAGCCCGAAUCCGACAGCUCACCUCGCAGGCGUGGGGAAGGACCA
rnacentral:sRNA from 1 species